rnacentral:rRNA from 1 species
GAGCGGCCCGCGUUGGAUUAGCUAGUUGGUGGGGUAAAGGCCCACCAAGGCGACGAUCCAUAGCUGGUCUGAGAGGAUGAUCAGCCACACUGGGACUGAGACACGGCCCAGACUCCUACGGGAGGCAGCAGUGGGGAAUCUUGCGCAAUGGGCGAAAGCCUGACGCAGCGACGCCGCGUGGGGGAUGAAGCUUCUCGGAGUGUAAACCCCUUUCGACCGGGACGAAUGCCCGCAAGGGAGUGACGGUACCGGUAGAAGAAGCCCCGGCUAACUACGUGCCAGCAGCCGCGGUAAGACGUAGGGGGCCAGCGUUGUUCGGAAUUACUGGGUGUAAAGGGUUCGUAGGCGGUGUGGCAAGUCGGGAGUGAAAUUUCUGGGCUUAACUCAGAGACUGCUUCCGAAACUGCUGUGCUGGAGUGUGGGAGAGGCGCGUGAAAUUGCAGGUGUAGCGGUGAAAUGCGUAGAUAUCUGCAGG